GGGUUGUGAGGUUAAGCGACUAAGCGUACACGGUGGAUGCCCUGGCAGUCAGAGGCGAUGAAGGGCGUGCUAAUCUGCGAUAAGCGCCGGUAAGGUGAUAUGAACCGUUAUAACCGGCGAUACCCGAAUGGGGAAACCCAGUGUGAUUCGUCACACUAUCAUUAACUGAAUCCAUAGGUUAAUGAGGCGAACCGGGGGAACUGAAACAUCUAAGUACCCCGAGGAAAAGAAAUCAACCGAGAUUCCCCCAGUAGCGGCGAGCGAACGGGGAGGAGCCCAGAGCCUGAAUCAGCAUGUGUGUUAGUGGAAGCGUCUGGAAAGGCGCGCGAUACAGGGUGACAGCCCCGUACACAAAAGCGCAUGUGCUGUGAGCUCGAUGAGUAGGGCGGGACACGUGGUAUCCUGUCUGAAUAUGGGGGGACCAUCCUCCAAGGCUAAAUACUCCUGACUGACCGAUAGUGAACCAGUACCGUGAGGGAAAGGCGAAAAGAACCCCGGCGAGGGGAGUGAAAAAGAACCUGAAACCGUGUACGUACAAGCAGUGGGAGCNNNNNNNNNNNNNNNNNNNNNNNNNNNNNNNNNGGGCGUUAAGUUGCAGGGUAUAGACCCGAAACCCGGUGAUCUAGCCAUGGGCAGGUUGAAGGUUGGGUAACACUAACUGGAGGACCGAACCGACUAAUGUUGAAAAAUUAGCGGAUGACCUGUGGCUGGGGGUGAAAGGCCAAUCAAACCGGGAGAUAGCUGGUUCUCCCCGAAAGCUAUUUAGGUAGCGCCUCGUGAAUUCAUCUCCGGGGGUAGAGCACUGUUUCGGCUAGGGGGCCAUCCCGGCUUACCAACCCGAUGCAAACUGCGAAUACCGGAGAAUGUUAUCACGGGAGACACACGGCGGGUGCUAACGUCCGUCGUGAAGAGGGAAACAACCCAGACCGCCAGCUAAGGUCCCAAAGUCAUGGUUAAGUGGGAAACGAUGUGGGAAGGCCCAGACAGCCAGGAUGUUGGCUUAGAAGCAGCCAUCAUUUAAAGAAAGCGUAAUAGCUCACUGGUCGAGUCGGCCUGCGCGGAAGAUGUAACGGGGCUAAACCAUGCACCGAAGCUGCGGCAGCGACACUGUGUGUUGUUGGGUAGGGGAGCGUUCUGUAAGCCUGCGAAGGUGGCCUGUGAGGGUUGCUGGAGGUAUCAGAAGUGCGAAUGCUGACAUAAGUAACGAUAAAGCGGGUGAAAAGCCCGCUCGCCGGAAGACCAAGGGUUCCUGUCCAACGUUAAUCGGGGCAGGGUGAGUCGACCCCUAAGGCGAGGCCGAAAGGCGUAGUCGAUGGGAAACGGGUUAAUAUUCCCGUACUUGGUGUUACUGCGAAGGGGGGACGGAGAAGGCUAUGUUGGCCGGGCGACGGUUGUCCCGGUUUAAGCGUGUAGGUGUGUGUUCCAGGUAAAUCCGGUUCACUUUAACACUGAGGCGUGACGACGAGGCACUACGGUGCUGAAGCAACAAAUGCCCUGCUUCCAGGAAAAGCCUCUAAGCAUCAGGUAACAUCAAAUCGUACCCCAAACCGACACAGGUGGUCAGGUAGAGAAUACCAAGGCGCUUGAGAGAACUCGGGUGAAGGAACUAGGCAAAAUGGUGCCGUAACUUCGGGAGAAGGCACGCUGACACGUAGGUGAAGUGAUUUACUCAUGGAGCUGAAGUCAGUCGAAGAUACCAGCUGGCUGCAACUGUUUAUUAAAAACACAGCACUGUGCAAACACGAAAGUGGACGUAUACGGUGUGACGCCUGCCCGGUGCCGGAAGGUUAAUUGAUGGGGUCAGCGCAAGCGAAGCUCCUGAUCGAAGCCCCGGUAAACGGCGGCCGUAACUAUAACGGUCCUAAGGUAGCGAAAUUCCUUGUCGGGUAAGUUCCGACCUGCACGAAUGGCGUAAUGAUGGCCAGGCUGUCUCCACCCGAGACUCAGUGAAAUUGAACUCGCUGUGAAGAUGCAGUGUACCCGCGGCAAGACGGAAAGACCCCGUGAACCUUUACUAUAGCUUGACACUGAACAUUGAGCCUUGAUGUGUAGGAUAGGUGGGAGGCUUUGAAGUGUGGACGCCAGUCUGCAUGGAGCCGACCUUGAAAUACCACCCUUUAAUGUUUGAUGUUCUAACGUGGACCCGUUACCCGGGUUGCGGACAGUGUCUGGUGGGUAGUUUGACUGGGGCGGUCUCCUCCUAAAGAGUAACGGAGGAGCACGAAGGUUGGCUAAUCCUGGUCGGACAUCAGGAGGUUAGUGCAAUGGCAUAAGCCAGCUUGACUGCGAGCGUGACGGCGCGAGCAGGUGCGAAAGCAGGUCAUAGUGAUCCGGUGGUUCUGAAUGGAAGGGCCAUCGCUCAACGGAUAAAAGGUACUCCGGGGAUAACAGGCUGAUACCGCCCAAGAGUUCAUAUCGACGGCGGUGUUUGGCACCUCGAUGUCGGCUCAUCACAUCCUGGGGCUGAAGUAGGUCCCAAGGGUAUGGCUGUUCGCCAUUUAAAGUGGUACGCGAGCUGGGUUUAGAACGUCGUGAGACAGUUCGGUCCCUAUCUGCCGUGGGCGCUGGAGAACUGAGGGGGGCUGCUCCUAGUACGAGAGGACCGGAGUGGACGCAUCACUGGUGUUCGGGUUGUCAUGCCAAUGGCACUGCCCGGUAGCUAAAUGCGGAAGAGAUAAGUGCUGAAAGCAUCUAAGCACGAAACUUGCCCCGAGAUGAGUUCUCCCUGAGACUUAAAGUCUCCUGAAGGAACGUUGAAGACGACGACGUUGAUAGGCCGGGUGUGUAAGCGCAGCGAUGCGUUGAGCUAACCGGUACUAAUGAACCGUGAGGCUUAACCUUACAACGCCGAAG
rnacentral:rRNA from 1 species